GUGCUGGAGAAUCUGGUAAAAGCACCAUUGUGAAGCAGAUGAGGAUCCUGCAUGUUAAUGGGUUUAAUGGAGAUGAGAAGGCAACCAAAGUGCAGGACAUCAAAAACAACCUGAAAGAGGCGAUUGAAACCAUUGUGGCCGCCAUGAGCAACCUGGUGCCCCCCGUGGAGCUGGCCAACCCCGAGAACCAGUUCAGAGUGGACUACAUUCUGAGUGUGAUGAACGUGCCUGACUUUGACUUCCCUCCCGAAUUCUAUGAGCAUGCCAAGGCUCUGUGGGAGGAUGAAGGAGUGCGUGCCUGCUAUGAACGCUCCAACGAGUACCAGCUGAUUGACUGUGCCCAGUACUUCCUGGACAAGAUCGACGUGAUCAAGCAGGCUGACUACGUGCCGAGCGAUCAGGACCUGCUUCGCUGCCGUGUCCUGACUUCUGGAAUCUUUGAGACC
rnacentral:sRNA from 1 species